UGAUCAAUAUUAUGUUUUUUGUCCCCCUCAGGCGCCUAACAAUGAUAGGGCAAGGGGAGACAGUUGUCUGGGGGCCCCACUGCCUGGAGGAGCACCCCAGGGGCACCUCACAUGACUCCCCAUUGCCCCCUGCCCAGCCCCAAGGCCCCUCAGCCACUUGCCCUCUUCGCCGUCUCUCCUGCUUGUUCUCCUGGCCGGCAAUGGAAGCAGCAGACAAGCUGCAAAGAGCUCCUUUUCUCCCGCCUCUCAGCUGAUCGGCGGGUGGGCGGUGCUUCCAGGGAGGCCUCCGAUUAGGCCUCAGUGAAGCCUGAACUCGAGUAGGGCCCAAGCCAGCCAGGAAGGAGGAGGCAGCCAGAGUGUUCUCUGCAGCAGAAGACCCCCUGCUGCACUGCUUAACCCAGACCAGCAUUUGCCAGUCUGAGAUGCUGGAGAUGUGAAACCAGCAAUGCAAAUAUGGAUCAGAUGAUGUGGAAAUGUAAAGUCAAGCAAUUAUUUUGGAUUUGAAUCUACUCCAAACUCUGAUGUGCUCUCCACAGUAUGUCACGCACAGC